rnacentral:rRNA from 1 species
AUCAUUACACAAUAACAAGGCGGGCUGGACACCCCCCGCUGGGCACUGCUUCACGGCGUGCGCGGCGGGGCCGGCCCUGCUGAAUUAUUCACCCGUGUCUUUUGCGUACUUCUUGUUUCCUGGGUGGGCUCGCCCGCCCUCAGGACCAACCACAAACCUUUUGCAAUAGCAAUCAGCGUCAGUAACAACGUAAUUAAUUACAACUUUCAACAACGGAUCUCUUGGUUCUGGCAUCGAUGAAGAACGCAGCGAAAUGCGAUACGUAGUGUGAAUUGCAGAAUUCAGUGAAUCAUCGAAUCUUUGAACGCACAUUGCGCCCUUUGGUAUUCCAAAGGGCAUGCCUGUUCGAGCGUCAUUUGUACCCUCAAGCUUUGCUUGGUGUUGGGCGUCUUUUGUCUCCAGUUCGCUGGAGACUCGCCUUAAAGUCAUUGGCAGCCGGCCUACUGGUUUCGGAGCGCAGCACAAGUCGCGCUCUUUGCCAGCCAAGGUCAGCGUCCAGCAAGCCUUUUUUUCAACCUUGA